GACGAACGUUGGCGGCGUGCUUAAUACAUGCAAGUCAACUGAAGCAGUGGUAGCAAUAUCGCUGUGGAGGUGGCGCACGGGUGAGUAACACGUAGGUAAUCUGCCUUCAGGUCUGGCAUAACUCCGGGAAACCGGGGCUAAUAGCAGAUGAUGCAGCGGCUCGACAUCGAGACAGUUGUUAAAGCUAUGGCGCCUGAAGAUGAGCCUGCGUCUGAUUAGCUAGUUGGCGGGGUAACGGCCCACCAAGGCAACGAUCAGUAGCUGGUCUGAGAGGAUGAUCAGCCACACUGGAACUGAGACACGGUCCAGACUCCUACGGGAGGCAGCAGUAAGGAAUAUUGCUCAAUGGGAGAAAACCUGAAGCAGCAACGCCGCGUGAGGGACGAAGGGCUUUUGCUUGUAAACCUCUGUAGUGAGAGAAAAAAAUCCCAAUCUUUGGGACAUGAUGGUAUCUCAAAAGUAAGCCCCGGCUAACUACGUG
rnacentral:rRNA from 1 species